CAGCCGCCGCGGUAACACGAAGGGUGCAAGCGUUACUCGGAAUUACUGGGCGUAAAGCGUGCGUAGGUGGUGGUUUAAGUCCGUUGUGAAAGCCCUGGGCUCAACCUGGGAAUUGCGGUGGACACUGGAUCACUAGAGUGUGGUAGAGGAUAGUGGAAUUUCCGGUGUAGCAGUGAAAUGCGUAGAGAUCGGAAGGAACAUCUGUGGCGAAGGCGACUAUCUGGGCCAACACUGACACUGAGGCACGAAAGCGUGGGGAGCAAACAGGAUUAGAUACCCCAGUAGUCCCUGUCUCUUAUAC
rnacentral:rRNA from 1 species